rnacentral:misc_RNA from 1 species
GAUGAAGAACGUAGCGAAAUGCGAUAAGUAAUGUGAAUUGCAGAAUUCAGUGAAUCAUCGAAUCUUUGAACGCACCUUGCGCCCCCUGGUAUUCCGGGGGGCAUGCCUGUCCGAGCGUCAUUACAACCCUCAAGCUCAGCUUGGUGUUGGGCCCCGCCGCCCCGGCGGGCCCUAAAGUCAGUGGCGGUGCCGUCCGGCUCCGAGCGUAGUAAUUCUUCUCGCUCUGGAGGUCCGGUCGUGUGCUCGCCAGCAACCCCCAAUUUUUUUCAGGUUGACCUCGGAUCAGGUAGGGAUACCCGCUGAACUUAAGCAUAUCAAUAAGCGGAGA